CAGUAGCCGCGGUAAAACGUAGGGUGCGAGCGUUAAUCGGAAUUACUGGGCGUAAAGCGUGCGCAGGCGGUUGUGUAAGACAGGUGUGAAAUCCCCGGGCUUAACCUGGGAAUGGCAAUGGAUACUGGCAAGCUAGGGUGUGUCAGAGGAUGGUGGAAUUCCCGGUGUAGCGGUGAAAUGCGUAGAGAUCGGGAGGAACAUCAGUGGCGAAGGCGGCCAUCUGGGACAACACUGACGCUGAGGCACGAAAGCGUGGGGAGCAAACAGGAUUAGAUACCCCGGUAGUCCCUGUCUCUUAUAC
rnacentral:rRNA from 1 species